UACGAGUGCGUCGAGCGCUAUCCGGAAUCAUUGGGCGUAAAGGGUGUGUAGGUGGUGUUGUUAGUCUCCUGUUAAAUUCCUCGGCUCAACCGGGGGCUCGCGGGAGAAACGGCAAUGCUAGAGGUUGGUAGGGGUUUCUGGAACUCUAAGUGUAGCGGUGAAAUGCGUUGAUAUUUAGGGGAACACCAAAAGCGAAGGCAGGAAACUGGACCAUACCUGACACUGAAACACGAAAGCGUGGGUAGCGAAUGGG
rnacentral:rRNA from 1 species